ACUUAACUUGAUGCUUGAUAGCUGUUUACUUACCAUUGUGUGCCCAGAUUUCAGUGUCCUGUAAAAGAAAGGGAAAUAAAGAAACCACGGCAUUCAUAUGGCUUUUAGGGAACUUAAGACACAUGGAAGAAAGUGCUUCGAAGGCUAUUGAAAUAUUUACAAAACAAAUCAUUUACAUUUAACUUUUGUAGUUGUAAAACCCAGAGCGCCUACAAAGACAGAGCCAACUUUAGUUAUAAGAAAUACUUCGGCAUCAAAAUGGUUAAUAGUAUUAUAGCUUCAAAAGAGCCUAUUGGCUCACCCUCAAGGAUGCCCUGCAGUUGUUGUUAAAGUCAUCAGAUGAAGCUAGCCUUCUCAGCUAGCCUUUAGAUUUGUCUGCUAACAGUAAAAAUACUAUAAUAAAUCGGUAACAUAUGUUGCCAGGCAAGGAAAAGUGAUAUAAAUAAAGAGACUAGGAGACCCAAACCAAGUACAAUGUGAAAAGAAGUUAACUUGCAAUCUAUUCGUUGGCUAAUUACCAUUUGAAAAGUAAUUUGAAAGUGUUACUGUUAUUUGCUUAUCUUCUACCUCAUUUUUCUUUUUUUCUCUUCAGAUUGCAUUCUUACCCAAAUACUCUUCGUGAUUGCCUGCUUUGCGGCUUUGGGAUUCUUCAGGGAGAGAAAAGCAUUCCCAUGGAUGACCUCUCCAUUUUCUCAUCAUGUUAAUUCACGUUCCUCAAAAGGAGCUUCUUGGGUUGAAAAAUGAGUGAAAAUUCCUCGUAGGUUUCUGAUUCACCUGAGAAAUACACGUCGGCUUUCUCAGAAAGAACUUGAGCCAUGGUCCUGUACCCCAAGCCAAACACUCAGUUGAGCUUCCAGAACCAUGGGCCUCCCUUGACCUGGAAGGCACCGAGCUUGUGUACGCGGAACUCACAGUUGGCCUAGGGAUAACUUGAUCCCAAAUGGAACCGUUUGGAAAUCGCUGCCUCUAAGCCAUAGUGCUACAUACCCUGCAAAGUGAGAGGUUUGGGACUUCCGAGUUAACUCACCCAGGAAAAGCUGACGUACGCAUUGAAAGUGAAAAUAAAAUCCCAGGACCAUGACGACCACUGCUCUGGGUUCUGUUCAGUGCUGCCAGUUGUCUGUCUGGAGUUUCCGUUUGGGUUAGCUAUUUUCUUUUGGAUUUUUACCUGAUUUGAGUGAGCUUAUCAAUUUUCAGUUAAUAAAAUGAAGCGUCCUAAAAGAGUGAGCAACUUCUUUUUCCAGAGCGCUCUCUGUCGUGAUCCAGCUUGGUCCAGAACCAUCCCAGAGCGGGAAACUAUGACCAACUUAAUGUCAGCUUCCUCCAAAACACAGGAAGUGUAAGGGGGAGAUACGGACAUCCAGAAAGGAGACAAGAAAAGAACGAUGAGGACACAGCCACGAGUAGUUUGGAGGCGAUAGGAAGUCUCAGAGUUCAGACUUUGAGAAGCUUUGCUAUUUCCGACCUCGUUAAGACCAAAACCCAGGAGUCCUAAGGUUACACUGACUCUCCUCCCACCACACUACGCUCCCCACAGCUGUUCGCGUAGUCUCAUGAGACCAGGGGCGAGUCUCGCGAGAAUAGGGAUGAGUCUUGCGAGAAUAGGGGUGAGUCUCGCGAGAACAGGGGCAAAUCUCGCAAGAGUUGGGGAAAGCCUUGAGAGAAAAUCGAGGGCUCUUCUCCCGAGUGUAAAUGGGCCACCGCUGGCGAGAAGGGGUCCGUCUCUGGAGUUCCGGAGCAGUGAGUCAUGAGUGCGGUAAGGGAGAAUGUGGCGAGGGAUGGAGUUCUUCGCUCGUGUGUGAAAAAUAGUUUCCCCUUGAGAGAGAGAGAGGCCUGUGCUCUCCCGAGCAGUGGGCUUAGUCGCCUGAGAAAACGGGGAAAUCUCUGGAAAGUUGGGUAACCCCUUGUGAGAGAAUAAAGGGAUAUUCUCAUGAGGGUGGAUGGCUUACUGCUCGGGAAAGAUCUUCCUGCUGUGUCACUAAGUUGACAUCUGGGAAAAUUGGGUGUCAGAGACUUCAAGGCGCUCCUUAAAAGUCAGGCGACUAGUGAAAGGCGGCCCCAGAGCUGGAAUUCCCUCCUCAGCCUAGUGCGUUUUACAUCAUUCGGAGCACCAGGGGACAACCCAGUUACUAGGAAUCGUAUGAAAAAGUGAAUGUUAUUACGAACAUGAAUUUUUAUUUCAGCAUUGUUUACGAUGAUAAAUUCCUAGCAGCAACUUAAAUGUCCACCAAAGGGGAAAUACGAUAUAUUUGUAAAAUUAAAAACAAUGAUGUGGGUCCAAAAGUGACAGGAAGCUUUAUAUAUAUGCUCACCAAGCUGCAGGUUACCUAAGAAAGCUAACAUUAGAGACUAUGGCCCUAAUUUUUUGGGUGUGCAGCUGUGCGUGCGCGCGCAUGCGUAUGUUUAUAUGCCAGGUUAAAUUUCUUUUAAGAAUACUGAAGAAGCCGUAGACAGCAGUUGCCUUGGGGGAAAGAAAUUGGGGAUCAGAUCACUACUUUUUUUCACUGAUUGAUUUAAAAAACUGUCAUAUAUACUAUAUUUUGACAUUAAAAUAUGACUUUCCUUUCCUGUUCUGUGCAUUUCAAAAAUAUAUAUAUAUAUAUGUAUGUAUGACUUAAAAGACCCAUCUCCUGCUUUCCAAACUUGGGUAUCAGCCCAGGCUCUGUUAUCUCUUAGCACUGUGAUCUUAGGCAAGGACCUUCAUUUCUCUGAGCCUCAGUUUCAUCCUCUGUGAAAUGAAGAUGAUGGGGUUCUCGUACAAAUUGUUCGUGCACAUUAACUGAAGAAAAAGUUCUGUGAAAGUGCUUUCGCAGCUCUCAAAGUCCAUCCAGUUGCUAGUAAUUACUACGUUACAGUAUUUUUGUUGAUGAAAAUUUCCCUUUGCUCCUUCCCCUCCCGCCCCCCACCUCCUAGGCCACAGGGUCAGGGAGGAUGCCUUUGGCAUUGAACUGUAAAUAAUCUCCUUAGUGUUUCUGGCCAGCCGGAAGCACUGACUGGGAAGGGAGACUGAGGAGUUCAGGCAUCAGGGAAGGUCUGAAUCGGAGUCUGUCAGUCUUUUUUCACAACUUGGUGAGCAUUUUAAUUAUGGCAGCUGGACUUGAUUUUCCUGUAUCCUAGCGCAGUUGCGGAAUUGGGAUUCAAAAAUCCUCUCUUGAUCUUCACCUGUCUAGAAAGGAUGGAAACGUCUAACUCCACUUCAUUUAUUUGUUCAACCAGUAGUUAUUGAGCACAGACUGUGCUAGGCACUGGGCUGAGUGAUCAGGACAGUUCUCCUGACCCCUGGAGUUUACAGUAGAGCAGACUCAACAGAUACUUAUUAACUGACUAUUGUGCACAGUAAUCAGCAUUUAUUUUAAACAAAGGAUAAACAGAACACUUACAUCCAUCCGAUAACUCCUAUGACUGCAGUUACAAUAAUAUUCACGAAUGUAUUUCUAGCUCUUCAUUGCUAAUAUAAAAACAGAGCACCCACCUGCCUAGAGUUUGUAUAUACCUAUUCACUCAUCCUGGCCAUAUUUUCCAAAAGGCAUCAGUGGUCGGGGGCAGUAAGAGCCAGACGUGUGGGGGUUUUCCAAGGGUUUCAUGAUGUCCUCUAAUUUGGGUCUGUAAGUUUGAUCCUUAGAGGGCUAUGAAAGUUAAUAGGAGAAGCAGAACAAGUAGAGAUCCCUUGGAGACAAGAAAGACAUCUUUUUAGAACUCAGCAUUAUUGAUGAGAACUCGGGGGGAACAACAGAUCAUGAACCAGCUUGAGAUCUUCUUUCAUGAAAAGAUCAUGAUUCAUAUGGAGCAACUUCCUUCCCUCGCAGACCCUCCCUGCUCCCCCUCGCCCACAAACUUCCCUCCCCAUAACAGAACCUCACAUUAGAGAGCUUGAAUUCAAAUAAUUCAGGUCCGGAAAAAAAGAAACCUCUUGUUAGAACACAGACAUCAUUGACAAUUAGCCAGGAUUCCAAGGAGGAAAAAAGGGAGGCCCAGGCAAGGUAAACGCAUUUGUGUUUAUACAGCGUGUGAUGUGUUUUGAAGUUUUCCCCAAGGAGAAAGGCCCUCUCUCCUACUUCAAAAGCCAUUUUCAUGGUUUUGAAAUUACUAGAAAUUAUGGGCUAACCCCCGUUCACACGUAAUUUAUUUCACCCAGUAUCUCAUGUUUUGUGAUAACAUGCAAAUACCAUAUGUUGCGCUUUCUCUUUAUGGAUGGAGGAGAAGGGGAGGGAGAACUGGCAGAAUUAUCACUAGGCACUGCAGAACUGUCCACUGAAAUCCACAUUUACCAUGGUGACGUUUACUGAUUAUGGCAGAGCUGAUCAAGUGCAGAUUUUCCUGCUGCUGAGGCUAAAUUGCAAGCUGCUCAUAAUGCCAUCAGAUGCUGCGCGGUUUUCAGCCAAUGAGAACGUCAGGAACGCUUCGCCCCUUCAGUGUUAACCAUGGCGGCAGAGCCCCAGGCCACCAUUGGUCCAGGCUCUACUGUGUUUGAACUGGAGUGACCUCACACCGCACUUUCUUGGAAUAAAUGUAUCUCUCAUUAUCUCAUGGGUCCCAAACACUUAAACCGGAAAUCCUAAUGUAUUCCUAGGGACUUCAUUUUUAUUUUCCCUAACAGGUAUUUAUUUUCUUAAAUGAAACAGUCAAUAUUUAGGAGUAUAUAUUAUUCAUAAGACUGAGAGAGAGAAAAAAACAAAUUAUUUUUUUUUAUUCUGUUUCAUCGGAGGCAAAAUGUUUUAUGCCAGGCCAAGGGAGACAGAAACACAAAGCCAUCAUUCAGCUCCUAGCUGCUUCAAUCAUUUCUCUGCCAACAACGGUGAAAAGAUGUGAUUUUACAGGCAAACAGGAAGAAAAGGCUUGAACACACCUUGGGAGCGUGUUUAAGAAGUUGAUUUAUGUUUCACGCAGAGUGUUACACCUGCAGUUCAAGCAAAACUCAACUUGGCUGCCCCAAAGAGUCUGGUUUAUUAGGUAUCAAGGAGUCGCAAGAAGCGGUGUAAUUAAAACCGUAAUUAACUGGAAAAGGAAAGUGCCACCUGAGUUUUGAGAGGCUGUCAAUUUUAUUUCCAUUACGGCCCUCCUGGUUCUCCUCUCGGACUCCUUCCCUUUUGCUCGAUAAGAAAACAAUGAUUGCACACACUCUGCAUACAUACAUGUUUUUCAUGUGUGAAAACAUGUCUGAAUGGUUGUUUCUUAUGGAAAAGGCCACACGAGUUGUAUUUCAGGUUAUGUUUCAGGUUUUCUAGAUCAAUGUCUUCGUGGGAGAAACACUCUCGAAGUGCACUGGGCAGUAGUGUAGCUUCCAGUCGCAUGUGGCUGAUGAGCACUAGAACUAGGGCUAGUCUGAAUUCAGAUGCACUGUAAGCGUACAGAACACAUCAGAUUUUAAAGAUGUCAGUACAAAAAAAAAGUAAAAUAUCUCAGUGAUACUUGGAAUAUUAAUUACUUGUUGAGUAAUAUUAUUUGGGGUAUACUGAGUUGUAUCAGAAUAUAUUAUUGUUUAAUUUCACCUGUUGCUUUUUACUUUUUUGAGGGUGGCUACUAGGAAAUUGAGAAUGACAUCCGUGGCUCACACGAUGUUUAUAUUGGGCAGUUCUGGAGGUUGGGUUCCUGCAUUUCCCACUGAACUAUGCAAGGAUUCACUGGAAAUAACUUUUUCGUGUCCUUUCUGCUGUUCCUGGGGCUGUGAGGGCCGGCUGGCCUGGUGAAAUCAGAGCUCUUGGUGGCAGUGCGCGUGCGUGCUGGAACACGUUAUUAAGGCACAUGUUUGUGAUUGCCGGAUUGUUCAACUCAAUUUCUCAAUAAAAGGCUCAAAGGGAGAUGUCUGAGCAGCACAAAUGGAACUUCAAGGGUCCUUUCUUCUCUAACUGCCCCUUGGCCAACAGAGGUUCAAACGCAACAUGAAAUACGUUAGCACCAGAACAAGGAGUGCUAGAAACUUCAAAUGAAGGUACUGAAAGCCGGCUCAAAACCAACACGUGUGCCUUAAUUUGUGAAUUAAAGUGCUGAUCAAACCAUCUUUUGAAAAAGGUCAAUCCAUUUACAUUAGACUCUGUAAACAUCCGUCUCAUGUUAUUAUGCCAUCUUUCUGAAUCACAUCCUUUGAGGUAAUAAAGAGGAUUUGUAAUAAAGACAAUUAUGUAACAGUUUUGAAGGUGUCUAGGGAAGGAGGCUUUUAGCCACUUUAUAUCAGAAAUAGGCAAAAGUUUUAAAUAUCUCAGUCGUCUUCUUUUCCUUUUCAACCACUUUUAGGGUUGGGGAGCGGGUAGUCAAGAUAGACAAUUUGGACGCCUUCAAAAAGAAGUGCAGCAUCUUAUUUCCCUGUUAACAACAGAGUGGUGACAAACCUAUUGAUGAAAACUGCCCAAGGAAGUUAACAGACUGAAACCACCUUUCUUUGGGCAGAGGGAGAAAAAAAUCAGGUCUCUUCCUAGUCUAACUCGACCUCCACUGCAGUGCACAUUUUAGCUGCAUCUGUUACAAAGUAAGGGUCUCUGGAAUCUUCCAGUGCAGAACAGAAAUAUGUCGGUGCGUAAUUUUGGAAGUGAGCCUGAAGUACCCUGAGCAGAUGACACACGGGGCUUAGGUCCUGAUUCAGCUACAAGUCAGCAGGGCACCCCAGGACCAUCUGCGUUCUAUAAAUUACAGUAACUCCGGCACAUGCGGCUUGUAAAUCACCAGCGAACAGGCUUCACCUUGUGACACACGACAUGAACCCUGUUGUAUAUUCCAAUAAACUCCCAUAAACCAUCUGA